UCAAUCUCGUGCGGCUAGAAGCCGCCUGUCCCUCUAAGAAGAUUGUCUACGCCGGGAACCGAAGGUCCCGGCGCCUAGUUAGCAGGUUAGAGUCUCGUUCGUUAU
rnacentral:rRNA from 1 species